rnacentral:rRNA from 1 species
UAGAGCUAAUACAUGCAGUAAGCCCUGAACUUAAUUACUAAGUGACGGGUGCGGUUAUUAGACCAAAAACCAAUCGGCAGUGGCAUUAGCUGCUGCCGUUCCAUUGGUGAACUCUGAGUAACUACAGCGAACCGCACGGUCUCGUACCGGCGGUCUGUCGGUCAAGCAACUGCCUUAUCAGCUUGUCGUUAGGUUAUACGCCUAACGAGGCGUCAACGGGUAACGAACGAUUGGGGUCCGACAUCGGAGAGGGAGCCUGAGAAACGGCUACCACAUCUAAGGAAGGCAGCAGGCGCGCAAAUUACCCACUCCCGGCACGGGGAGGUAGUGACGAGAAAUAACGAUGCGGGGUUCAUGUGAAUUCUCGUAAUCGGAAUGAGUACACUUUAAAUCCUUUAACGAGGAGCUAUUGGAGGGCAAGUCUGGUGCCAGCAGCCGCGGUAAUUCCAGCUCCAAUAGCGUAUAUUAAUGCUGCUGCGGUUAAAAAGCUCGUAGUUGGAUCUGGGUUGACGGCGGGCGGUCCGCACUGUUUACCGGUGUGAGAAUUCGCUGUACGCGUCGUUUUCUAGUUGAAAUUAUACUGGAACGGCGCUGCCGGCGUUGAGUUAGUUAGUAGGUGUAGUUGCUUAUGUGGCUUCUCGCUUAUUUGCGCUCUACGUCGGUCGCCGCGACCACCUGCCGGACCGCGUUGUAUAUUCUUAAGUGAAUGUAUGAUGCGUUCGGCGCGUUUACUUUGAAAAAAUUAGAGUGCUCAAAGCAGGCGUAUAGAUGCCCAAAAGGCAGCCUGAAUAGUGGUGCAUGGAAUAAUGGAAUAGGACCUCGGUUCUAUUUUGUUGGUUUUCAGUAAUCGAGGUAAUGAUUAAGAGGGACAGACGGGGGCAUUCGUACUGUGUCGUUAGAGGUGAAAUUCUUGGAUCGACGCAAGACGAACUAAUGCGAAAGCAUUUGCCAAGAAUGUUUUCAUUAAUCACAGAACGAAAGUUAGAGGUUCGAAGGCGAUCAGAUACCGCCCUAGUUCUAACCAUAAACGAUGCCAACCAGCGAUCCGCCGCUGCUCUUUUUUAUAACGACUCGGCGGGCAGCUUCCGGGAAACCAAAGUUUUCGGGUUCCGGGGGAAGUAUGGUUGCAAAGCUGAAACUUAAAGGAAUUGACGGAAGGGCACCACCAGGAGUGGAGCCUGCGGCUUAAUUUGACUCAACACGGGGAAACUCACCCGGCCCGGACACCGUAAGGAUUGACAGAUUGAGAGCUCUUUCUUGAUUCGGUGGGUGGUGGUGCAUGGCCGUUCUUAGUUGGUGGAGUGAUUUGUCUGGUUAAUUCCGAUAACGAACGAGACUCUAGCCUACUAACUAGCCAGUCGGUCCUGAUGCGUUUUGAGUGUGUGUUAGCGUUUCGGCGUUGGCAUUGCAUUUGAGCGCUAUCAAAGCCGGCUGCAAUUAUGCUUCUUAGAGGGACAGGCGGUUUAUUAGAAGCCGCACGAAAUUGAGCAAUAACAGGUCUGUGAUGCCCUUAGAUGUCCGGGGCCGCACGCGCGCUACACUGAAAGAAUCAGCGUGUUUUAAUAUUAUCCUGGGUUGAAAGACUUGGGUAAUCCGCUGAAACUCUUUCGUGAUUGGGAUUGAGCUUUGUAAUUAUCGCUCAUGAACGAGGAAUUCCCAGUAAGCGCGAGUCAUCAGCUCGCGUUGAUUACGUCCCUGCCCUUUGUACACACCGCCCGUCGCUACUACCGAUUGGAUGAUCUAGUGAGAUCUUCGGACUAGCCGACGACGCUGUCGACUUUGGUUGCAGCUCCGUCUGGCCGGAAAGAUGCUCAAAC